rnacentral:rRNA from 1 species
UGGGGAAUCUUGCGCAAUGGGCGAAAGCCUGACGCAGCAACGCCGCGUGGGGGAUGAAGGCCCUCGGGUUGUAAACCCCUUUCAGCAGGGACGAAAUUGACGGUACCUGCAGAAGAAGCCCCGGCCAACUACGUGCCAGCAGCCGCGGUAAUACGUAGGGGGCGAGCGUUGUCCGGAUUCAUUGGGCGUAAAGAGCUCGUAGGCGGUUUGGCAAGUCGGGUGUGAAAUCUCUGGGCUCAACUCAGAGAGGCCACUCGAUACUGCUAUGACUAGAGUCCGGUAGGGGACCAUGGAAUUCCUGGUGUAGCGGUGAAAUGCGCAGAUAUCAGGAGGAACACCGGUGGCGAAGGCGGUGGUCUGGGCCGGCACUGACGCUGAGGAGCGAAAGCGUGGGGAGCGAACAGGAUUAGAUACCCCUGUAGUCC